UCUCUGGUGGUCUAGUGGCUAGAAUUCAGCACUUUCACUGCUGAGACCUGAGGUUAAUUCCCCAUCAGGGAA
rnacentral:tRNA from 1 species